AGCCCAGAGCCUGAAUCAGUGUGUGUGUUAGUGGAAGCGUCUGGAAAGGCGCGCGAUACAGGGUGACAGCCCCGUACACAAAAAUGCACAUACUGUGAGCUCGAUGAGUAGGGCGGGACACGUGGUAUCCUGUCUGAAUAUGGGGGGACCAUCCUCCAAGGCUAAAUACUCCUGACUGACCGAUAGUGAACCAGUACCGUGAGGGAAAGGCGAAAAGAACCCCGGCGAGGGGAGUGAAAAAGAACCUGAAACCGUGUACGUACAAGCAGUGGGAGCCUCUUAAUGGGGUGACUGCGUACCUUUUGUAUAAUGGGUCAGCGACUUAUAUUCUGUAGCAAGGUUAACCGAAUAGGGGAGCCGAAGGGAAACCGAGUCUUAACUGGGCGUUAAGUUGCAGGGUAUAGACCCGAAACCCGGUGAUCUAGCCAUGGGCAGGUUGAAGGUUGGGUAACACUAACUGGAGGACCGAACCGACUAAUGUUGAAAAAUUAGCGGAUGACUUGUGGCUGGGGGUGAAAGGCCAAUCAAACCGGGAGAUAGCUGGUUCUCCCCGAAAGCUAUUUAGGUAGCGCCUCGUGAAUUCAUCUCCGGGGGUAGAGCACUGUUUCGGCAAGGGGGUCAUCCCGACUUACCAACCCGAUGCAAACUGCGAAUACCGGAGAAUGUUAUCACGGGAGACACACGGCGGGUGCUAACGUCCGUCGUGAAGAGGGAAACAACCCAGACCGCCAGCUAAGGUCCCAAAGUCAUGGUUAAGUGGGAAACGAUGUGGGAAGGCCCAGACAGCCAGGAUGUUGGCUUAGAAGCAGCCAUCAUUUAAAGAAAGCGUAAUAGCUCACUGGUCGAGUCGGCCUGCGCGGAAGAUGUAACGGGGCUAAACCAUGCACCGAAGCUGCGGCAGCGACACUAUGUGUUGUUGGGUAGGGGAGCGUUCUGUAAGCCUGUGAAGGUGUACUGUGAGGUAUGCUGGAGGUAUCAGAAGUGCGAAU
rnacentral:rRNA from 1 species